AGUGAACGCUGGCGGCGUGCUUAAUACAUGCAAGUCGAACGAUGAAGUCCUACCUUGCUCGUCUGGAUUAGUGGCGCACGGGUGAGUAAUAUAUAGUUAAUCUGCCUUGCACUGAGGUACAACAGUUGGAAACGAUUGCUAAUACCUCAUACUCAAACUUUACAUAAGUUAAGUUGGGAAAGUCUUUUCGGUUAAAGAUGAGACUAUAUCGUAUCAGCUAGUUGGUAAGUUAAUGGCUUACCAAGGCUAUGACGCGUAACUGGUCGGAGAGGAUGAUCAGUCACAUUGGAACUGAGACACGGUCCAAACUCCUAAGGGAGGCAGGAGUAAGGAAUAUUGUGCAAUGGGGGAAACCCUGACGGAGCAAAGGCGCGUGGAGGAUGACACUUUUCGGAGAGUAAACUCCUUUUGUUAGGGAAGAAAAAUGACGGUACCUAACGAAUAAGCACCGGCUAACUCCGUG
rnacentral:rRNA from 1 species